rnacentral:lncRNA from 1 species
UGCUGUAACCUCCACCCCGGGGUUCAAGUGAUUCUCCCGCCUCAGCCUCCUGAAUAGCUGGGAUACAGGUGCAUGUCACCACGCCUGGCUAAUUUUUGUAUUUUUAGUAGAGACAGGGUUUCACCAUGUUGGCCAGGCUGGUCUCGAACUCCUGACCUGAGGUGAUCCACCCGCCUCGGCCUCCCAAAGUGCUGGGAUUACAGGUGUGAGCCACUGCCCCUGGCCGAAUUGUAUAUUUUUAAAUGGUUAAUUUUAUGUUAUGUGAAUUUCUCCUUGAUUUUUUUUUUUAAACAAGAAAUAGAGUAUGCUCUGGUAAGGUUCAGCUCGGGGAAGUUCCCUGUCCAUAAUUACCGUGAGCUCUAGAGGGACUGGAGUUCUAGGUGCCCUGGCCAAGCGCACACUGGGGCUCCAUGUCUCCACUCAUUGACCUGGUUGGUCCCUGGCUUUCCCAGGUUCCAGACAUCAAAGGGGGUACGUCAACAGUGCGCACCAUCAUGCCAAUUAAAUGCCGUGAUGCACCAUAUAUACGCCUAACCAGCAAUCAACCAAAAUAGCACUUAGGGGCAAACUCCCACCCGUGUCUUACAAAUAACUGCAGUUGUAGAAUGUACAAGGAAAUGACAGAGUCUGCCAUUAACCUCAGGCCUGCAGCAUCUCCAGACUGCGCUGCUCACAGAUGGCUUGCACUGAGGGAAGCAUCAGUGUCACCCGGGGAGCCAACUGCAAGCCCAUCUACUUCGGGUCCCUCCAGGCAGUGUCUGCUUUCUCUAAGAAACAGGAAUGAAGAAUAUUCUUAUCUCUACCCAUUAGGCCUGAGGACGACUCUGGACUUGGUUGAUAAAACAACCAAAUUAGAAGGAGAAGCGGGGCCUCAGCACCCGGAGGACAGAUCUUGGUGGCUGUCAAGCCUUUGGUUUUAGCUGAGGAGGAAGAGAGAAGGCGCCAGAGCCUUGGGGCUCCCCUGUGAGAUAUUAAUCCUGAAAGCUAUAUGUGCAGGCCCCGCUGAGUGCCCCACAGUCCUCACCGUGGCCCGAGGGGGGAGAUACUUUUUUUUUUUUGAGAUGGAGUUUUGCUCUGUCACCCAAACUGGAGUGCAAUGGCGCGAUCUCGGCUCACUGCAACCUCCGCCUCCCAGGUUCAAGAAAUUCUCCUGCCUCAGCCAGGCUUACAGGCAUCCGCCACCACGCCCAGCUAAUUUUUGUAUUUUUAGUAGAGAUUGAGUUUCUCCAUGUUGGUCAGCCUGGUCUUGAACUCCUGACCUCAGGUGAUCUGCCCACCUCGGCCUCUUAAAGUGCUGGGAUUAUAGGUGUGAGCCACCGCGCCCGGCUGGAGGAUGUGAUCUUAUGACAUCAUUCAUUUACUUAUUUAGAGACAGAGUCUUGCUCCAUCACCCAGGCUGGAGUGCAGUGGCACAAUCAUGGCUCACUGCAGUCUCGAAGUCCUGCAGUGAGUCUCAAGUGAUCCUCCCACCUCAGCCUCCCUAGGAACUGGGACCACAGGUGCACGCCACCACACCUGGCUAAUUUUUGUAUUUUUUAUUUUGCCAUGUUGCCCAGGGUGGUCUCGAAUGCCUGGAUUCCAGCGAUCUUCCCACCUUGGCCUUCCAAAGUGCUGAGAUUCCAAGUGUGAGCAGCUGAGCCCAGCCUUAUGAUGUAUGUCAUCUAUAUGGUUGAGGAGGCCAAGCCCAGCCAGGCAGGAGAGGUGCUCCAGCCCAGGCAAUCUGUAAGCGGCAGUGCUGAGAUGUGCACCCAGGGCUGUCUGAUCCAAAGUCUGUGCUUUUACAUAAGAUAAUACGCUGGGGAAUCAUUUUUUUUUUUUUUUUUUUUUGAGACAGAGUCUUGCUCUGUUGCCCAGGCUGGAGUGCAGUGGCGUGAUCUCAGCUCACUGCAACCUCCCCGCUAUGCUGGGGAGUCUUAGGGUUAGCUCAGGGCUAUGGCUGAAAUGUUUGCCUUCUGCCCCUGCCAAGUUCAUAUGUUGAAACCUCAACUGGUGUGACGGUAUUUGAAUAUGGGGCCUUGGGGAGGUAAUUAGGUCAAAAGGGUGGAGCCCGUGUAGAUGGAUGAAAGCCCCUAUAAAAAGACAAGAGAGAGCUUGCUUCCGCUCCGCUCUCCACCAGUAAGGAUACAACAAGGAGAGGCCGCCUACAAGCCAGGAAGACAAUCGUUCAGUAGCCUUCAGAUCCGCCAACACCUUGAUCCUGGGCUUGCGGCUGCCAGACCUGUGAGAAAGCGAUGCCCAUUGUUUAAGCCCCUGGUCUUUGAUCUGUUACCGCAGCGCGAGCUGACCACGCACUCAGUGUGAGGCGAUGACCUUUUUCUCAACCAUGCGCAAGUGGUAUUUCUGCGUGCUUCAAAUAUCACAGGCCGGAUUGUCAGGAAACCAAGGAGGGGCCUUUUGGAAGAGAAUGAUGCUGAGCAUCCGGGUCCCUGGACAGCCAGCAGCCCUGAGGCAGACAGAAGUUUGGACAACUCAGGACAGGGAGCUUGGAGGGCAGCCCCUACAUGUCGGAGUGGUCCCUACCUGUGUUGCCUCAACUCUUCCUUCAAGGCAAGAGCCGCUAAGGACAGUCAGGACAUCCUACCGCCCAAGGCUGUUGAGCUCGGCCGGCCAAGGGAGCUUAUAAUUUAGUAGACACAUAAGCCACAAACAGAAGCCAGCUCUGUGUCAGGCCCCAUGAGAAGUCCGCAGGUGCGAUCUUCAAUUUGGAGACUACAGGAAGGAUGGCUGGGGAGGCCUCAGGAAACUUACAGUCACAGCGGAAGGCAAAGAGGAAGCAGGCAGCGGCUUCGUGGCAGGAGCAGGAGGAAGGCGGUGGGGAGGUGCUACAUACUUUUAAACAACUGGAUCUUGUGAGAACUCACUAUCACGAGAACAGCAAGGGGGAAUUCUGCGCCCUGAUCCAGUCACCUCCCACCAGGCUCCUCCUCCAACAGUGGGGAUUACAAUUCGACAUGAGAUUUGAGUGGGGACACAGAUCCAAACCAUAUCAGUGUCAUUAAAAAAAUAGUUGCCCUGCUAACUUUUUUAAUCCCCUGUAACUCUAAAUAAAAUAAUGAUGUGAAC